UCCCUGCUUGUCUAGUGGUUAGGACUCGGUACUUUCACUACUGGGGCCUGGGUUCAAUCCCUGGUCGGGGAA
rnacentral:tRNA from 1 species